GUUAGGAAUAUUGGACAAUGGGCGCAAGCCUGAUCCAGCCAUGCCGCGUGAACGAUGAAGGCCUUCGGGUUGUAAAGUUCUUUAGCCGAUGAUUAUAAUGACUGUAGUCGGAAAAUAAGCCCCGGCUAACUUCGUGCCAGCAGCCGCGGUAAUACGAAGGGGGCGAGCGUUAUUCGGAAUCACUGGGCGUAAAGCGUGCGUAGGCGGUCUCGUAAGUUAGGAGUGAAAGCCCAGGGCUCAACCUUGGAAUUGCUCUUAAUACUGCAAGGCUAGAAUCUCGGAGAGGAUAGCGGGAUUUGCAGUGUAGCAGUGAAAUGCGUAGAUAUUGGAAGGAACACCAGUGGCGUAAGCGGCUAUCUGGACGAGUAUUGACGCUGAGGCACGAAAGCGUGGGGAUCAAACAGGAUUAGAAACCCGAGUAGUCC
rnacentral:rRNA from 1 species